rnacentral:misc_RNA from 1 species
CAUUCAUCCCAUUUGAUGCCUCAUUUCCYGUGGAUUUGUUACACGAUGAAGGAUGAAAAAACUUUAAACCGGCGCAGCUUCGCGCCAAGUAUAGAUUGAAAACA